GACGAACGCUGGCGGCGUGCUUAACACAUGCCAGUCGAACGGAAAGGCCCUGCUUUUGUGGGGUGCUCGAGUGGCGAACGGGUGAGUAACACGUGAGUAACCUGCCCUUGACUUUGGGAUAACUUCAGGAAACUGGGGCUAAUACCGGAUAGGAGCUCCUGCUGCAUGGUGGGGGUUGGAAAGUUUCGGCGGUUGGGGAUGGACUCGCGGCUUAUCAGCUUGUUGGUGGGGUAGUGGCUUACCAAGGCUUUGACGGGUAGCCGGCCUGAGAGGGUGACCGGCCACAUUGGGAAUGAGAUACGGCCCAGACUCCUACGGGAGGCAGCAGUGGGGAAUAUUGCACAAUGGGCGGAAGCCUGAUGCAGCAACGCCGCGUGCGGGAUGACGGCCUUCGGGUUGUAAACCGCUUUCGCCUGUGACGAAGCGUGAGUGACGGUAAUGGGUAAAGAAGCACCGGCUAACUACGUG
rnacentral:rRNA from 1 species